rnacentral:rRNA from 1 species
GAUGAACGCUAGCGAUAGGCUUAACACAUGCAAGUCGAGCGGCAGCAUGGUCUUAGCUUGCUAAGACUGAUGGCGACCGGCGCACGGGUGCGUAACGCGUAUGCAACUUGCCUCACAGAGGUGGAUAACCCGUCGAAAGACGGACUAAUACCGCUUACACUUGGGAUAUGGCUUCCUGACCCAAGGAAAUGAAGUUCUCUGUGAGAUAGGCAUGCGUGCCAUUAUCUGUUUGGUGAGGUAUCGGCUCACCAAGGCGACGAUGGGUAUGGGAACUGAGAGGUGGACCCCCCACAAUGGUACUGAGACACGGACCAGACCGCUACGGGAGGCAGCAGUGAGGACCAUUGGUCAAUGGGCGCGAGCCUGAACAAGCCAAGUCGCGUGAAGGAUGACUGUCUUAUGGAUUGUAAACUUCUUGUAUACGGGAAAAACAAGAGUAACGUGUGGCUCCCUGAGGGUACCGUAUGAAUAAGCAUCGGCUAACUACGUG